UAAUACAUGCAAGUCGAGCGAACAGACGAGGAGCUUGCUCCUCUGACGUUAGCGGCGGACGGGUGAGUAACACGUGGAUAACCUACCUAUAAGACUGGGAUAACUUCGGGAAACCGGAGCUAAUACCGGAUAACAUGUUGAACCGCAUGGUUCAACAGUGAAAGACGGUCUUGCUGUCACUUAUAGAUGGAUCCGCGCCGCAUUAGCUAGUUGGUAAGGUAACGGCUUACCAAGGCAACGAUGCGUAGCCGACCUAAGAGGGUGAUCGGCCACACUGGAACUGAGACACGGUCCAGACUCCUACGGGAGGCAGCAGUAGGGAAUCUUCCGCAAUGGGCGAAAGCCUGACGGAGCAACGCCGCGUGAGUGAAGAAGGUCUUCGGAUCGUAAAACUCUGUUAUUAGGGAAGAACAAAUGUGUAAGUAACUAUGCACGUCUUGACGGUACCUAAUCAGAAAGCCACGGCUAACUACGUGCCAGCAGCCGCGGUAAUACGUAGGUGGCAAGCGUUAUCCGGAAUUAUUGGGCGUAAAGCGCGCGUAGGCGGUUUUUUAAGUCUGAUGUGAAAGCCCACGGCUCAACCGUGGAGGGUCAUUGGAAACUGGAAAACUUGAGUGCAGAAGAGGAAAGUGGAAUUCCAUGUGUAGCGGUGAAAUGCGCAGAGAUAUGGAGGAACACCAGUGGCGAAGGCGACUUUCUGGUCUGUAACUGACGCUGAUGUGCGAAAGCGUGGGGAUCAAACAGGAUUAGAUACCCUGGUAGUCCACGCCGUAAACGAUG
rnacentral:rRNA from 1 species